rnacentral:rRNA from 1 species
GCUUACGACCACACGGCCUGAGUACGCCUGAUCUCGUCUGAUCUCGGAAGCUAAGCAGGGUCGGGCCUGGUUAGUACUUGGAUGGGAGACCGCCUGGGAACCAGGUGCUGUAAGCU